AAAAAACUUCUGAAAACUCUAAAAAAAACUCUCCCCCCUUUCCAACCUUCCGAUCAUCGGCCGAUCAUCGGCCACCGCGCCGGCCGCCGUUCUCCGGCGCCGGCACCGCCGUCUGUGGUGGCCGGAAAAGGGAAAAAUGACCCCUUUCGGCUUUCUAGACCUUCCCAAGCCCAGAUCUGGGCUCAAAAUACCCAAAAUCCAGCAGAAAACGCGAAGAAAUCGCGAAAACCUUUCGGUUUCCGGCCACCGAUCCUCAGGGGUGUCUCCCUCGAUCUUCCAACGGCGUUUCAAAGGCAAACGAAGGUAAGCUCCUCACUCUUCGUUUUAUUGUGCUUUAGUAAAGUAAAAAAAUAAUAAAAAUAGAAGAAAAUGGAGAAAUAAUCGAUGCAAAAAAAUAAAAUAUCAACCUUUCGAGUUUUGAUUGAUUCUCCCUUUGUGUUAAAAAAUUGUGCUUUUUAUUGAUUUCCCAUUCGGGAUCCCCUUUUACAGAUGUUUAAUGGCCUUUUUUAUAGUCAUAUUAAAAUAAAAUAUAAAGAAACAAAUCUUGUUUUAUCUCUUCUUGAUUUGCAAUCCUUGAUUUUACUUUCUAUAUACUGCUUGUUUCCAUUUUUGUGCAGGUGAAGAUUUCGUAGAGAUUCGGAGAGCGAGGCUAGGUGGCUGCGGCGUGAGACUCAUCCCAGAAACCCUAGGGUUUCUGAUUUCAUGUUGGGCCAUUGCUUUUGGGCCUCUGUUCAUUUUGGGUUUUGGGCCACAUAAGCCCAUUGUAAUUUGGACUUAAAAAUGCUGGACAUUAUUUUUUAUUAUUUAAAAGGCCGGGAAAAAUUUAGGUAUUACAAAAGGAAAAAGAUAUUAUAAAAGAUUGAUGCCUAUACAAUUGAUUUCCUUCCUCUAUUUAUAUUUGAAUUUCUUAAUUCUAUACAAAUAUUUUUUGAAUCC
rnacentral:lncRNA from 1 species